GGCCCGGUCGGCCGAGGCGGUCUGAGCCGGGUCCCGGCCGGCCCGGGCGCUCCGGAUCGGUGGCUCGACCGCUCGGUCUCAGUCGCUGGGCUGC
rnacentral:tRNA from 1 species